CCUGCGGAAGGAUCAUUACCGAGUGAGGGCCCUCUGGGUCCAACCUCCCACCCGUGUCUAUCGUACCUUGUUGCUUCGGCGGGCCCGCCGUUUCGACGGCCGCCGGGGAGGCCUCGCGCCCCCGGGCCCGCGCCCGCCGAAGACCCCAACAUGAACGCUGUUCUGAAAGUAUGCAGUCUGAGUUGAUUAUCAUAAUCAGUUAAAACUUUCAACAACGGAUCUCUUGGUUCCGGCAUCGAUGAAGAACGCAGCGAAAUGCGAUAAGUAAUGUGAAUUGCAGAAUUCAGUGAAUCAUCGAGUCUUUGAACGCACAUUGCGCCCCCUGGUAUUCCGGGGGGCAUGCCUGUCCGAGCGUCAUUGCUGCCCUCAAGCACGGCUUGUGUGUUGGGCCCCGUCCCCUCCCCCGGGGACGGGCCCGAAAGGCAGCGGCGGCACCGCGUCCGAUCCUCGAGCGUAUGGGGCUUUGUCACCCGCUCUGUAGGCCCGGCCGGCGCCAGCCGACACCCAACUUUUAUUUCUAAGGUUGACCUCGGAUCAGGUAGGGAUACCCGCUGAACUUAAGCAUAUC
rnacentral:rRNA from 1 species